ensembl:piRNA 21ur-3411 ncRNA
UACAAAUGUGUAAACUGAAAA